rnacentral:rRNA from 1 species
GACGAACGCUGGCGGCGUGCUUAACACAUGCAAGUCGAACGGAAAGGUGCUGCUUGCAGGGUGCUCGAGUGGGGAACGGGUGUGUAACGCGUGGGAUAUCUGCCCUGCACUGCGGGAUAAGCCUGGGAAACUGGGUCAAAUACCGGAUAGGCGUCACUGUUAGUGUGUUGGUUGGAACGUUUUUUCGUGGUAGGGUGAGUUCGCGCCGUAUCCGAUUGUGUGUGGGGUAGUGGACUAGCAACGCGGCGACGGGUAGGGUGGCUGAGGGGGUGGACGGCCACACUGGGACGGGAAUACGGCCCAGACCACUACGGGACGGAGCAGUGGAGAAUAGUACACAACGGGCGCAGGCAUGAUGCAACGAAGCCGCGUGGCGGGUGACGGCCUGCGGGUUGUAAUCUCCUGUCGUGAGGGACGAAGCGAUUCGUGACGGUACCUAGAGAAGAAGCACCGGCUAACUACGUG